rnacentral:rRNA from 1 species
CCUACGGGUGGCAGCAGUAGGGAAUAUUGCUCAAUGGGGGAAACCCUGAAGCAGCAACGCCGCGUGGAGGAUGAAGGUUUUAGGAUUGUAAACUCCUUUUGUGAGAGAAGAUAAUGACGGUAUCUCACGAAUAAGCACCGGCUAACUCCGUGCCAGCAGCCGCGGUAAUACGGAGGGUGCAAGCGUUACUCGGAAUCACUGGGCGUAAAGAGUGCGCAGGCGGGCUUGUAAGUCGGAUGUGAAAUCCUGUAGCUUAACUACGGAACUGCAUUUGAAACUAUGAGGCUAGAGUGUGGGAGAGGUAGGUAGAAUUCUAGGUGUAGGGGUAAAAUGCGUAGAUAUCAAGAGGAAUACUGAUUGCGAAGGCGACCUACUGGAAAAUGACUGACGCUCAUGUGCGAAAGCGUGGGGAGCAAACAGGAUUAGAUACCCGGGUAGUC